CCGCGGCGUUCGCGCGGCCGGCGUUGCCCGCUUCGCGGGCGGGCGGCGAACGGGCCGCGGGUUCGGACAUGCGCCGUCGCGCGC
rnacentral:tRNA from 1 species